CCUACGGGGGGCUGCAGUGGGGAAUAUUGGACAAUGGGGGGAACCCUGAUCCAGCCAUGCCGCGUGUGUGAAGAAGGCCCUCGGGUUGUAAAGCACUUUCAGUGAGGAAGAACGCCUGGUGGUUAAUACCCAUCAGGAAAGACAUCACUCACAGAAGAAGCACCGGCUAACUCCGUGCCAGCAGCCGCGGUAAUACGGAGGGUGCGAGCGUUAAUCGGAAUUACUGGGCGUAAAGCGCGCGUAGGUGGCUUGAUAAGCCGGUUGUGAAAGCCCCGGGCUCAACCUGGGAACGGCAUCCGGAACUGUCAAGCUAGAGUGGAGGAGAGGAAGGUAGAAGUCCCGGUGUAGCGGUGAAAGGCGUAGAGAUCGGGAGGAAUACCAGUGGCGAAGGCGGCCUUCUGGACUGACACUGACACUGAGGUGCGAAAGCGUGGGUAGCAAACAGGAUUAGAUACCCUAGUAGUC
rnacentral:rRNA from 1 species